rnacentral:snoRNA from 1 species
GCGGUCUGAAAAUCAUCCGGGGUCUGGCGUGGCCCCCGGUGAGAUAACGGCGCCCACAGCAUCGGGAGCAUUAAAGCUUAUUGCCCACGCCUGUGUGUGGGGAAUGAAACCCGUGUUCCCACAAGC